rnacentral:pre_miRNA from 1 species
AGUAGGGGUGAGAAACUGGCUUGGCUCUGUGUUACGAUAGUCAGUCUUUUUCUCUCUCCUAUC